AACGCACAUUGCGCCCUUUGGCAUUCCGGGGGGCACACCUGUUCGAGCGCCAUUUCGACCCUCAAGCACAGCUUGGUGUUGGGCACGGUCCCAGGGGACCCGCCCGCAACUCGUAGGCGGCUGCCGCCCGCGCCCCCAGCGUAGCAAGCUCACGCGUUCGCUCGGGGACGGCGCGUCUGCCCGCCAGGCAAAGCCCAAACCCUUCCAAGGUUUGGCCUCGGAUCAGGUGGGGAUACCCGCUGAACUUAA
rnacentral:misc_RNA from 1 species